UUCAGUUGCAGGAAUUUAGCCAAUUCAGAGGUCUUGUUCUCCAUAAUUUGGAAUUUUCCUUCGGAUUUGAUCAAGUUGGAUAGAGUUGGUCAAACCCAAUGGGAAAAAGAUGAAAACAACAAGAAACAGAAACAAACAGCAACAACAACAACAACAAAAACAAGGGCAGCAGCUACCCACAAAUCAACAGCUGAGCAAGGCCAGGGCUGUGUGGGAGCUAUGCACAGGUUCUGCCUCCAGAAGCCUUCAGUGCCUGCCUCUGAGCCAGAGGGUUCCAAGCAGAAGAGGUCCCGCCCCCGGAGAGGGACCUCAGAGAGGUCCUCCAAGCCCCUCUCAGCUCUUACUUACGGCAUCCCAGAUGCCCUAUUCCUCUUCUGCAGAGAGAAGGUGGUUCAGCCACUAAAUGGUGCUGGGACCUCGCAGUUUGGUGGGAAGGAGGAAGCUUACUCAAGCAAGGAAUAUGAGACAGGCAAAAACCCACGCAUAAGC
rnacentral:lncRNA from 10 species